rnacentral:tRNA from 1 species
GGUAGGCUAGCCUAGAGAAAACAGCAUGGGACUGGGAGUCCCAACACCUGGGUUUGAGUCCCAGAUUUGCCA